GAUGAACGCUGGCGGCGUGCUUAACACAUGCAAGUCGAGCGAGAAGUUUUGAAAAGAUUCUUCGGAUGAAAUUUAAAAUGGAAAGCGGCGGACGGGUGAGUAACGCGUAGGCAACCUGCCCCAUACAAAGGGAUAGCAUUUGGAAACGAAUAUUAAUACCUUAUGAAACUUAACUAGUGCAUGCUAGGUAGGUCAAAGAUUUAUCGGUAUGGGAUGGGCCUGCGUCUGAUUAGCUAGUUGGUGAGGUAACGGCUCACCAAGGCGACGAUCAGUAGCCGACCUGAGAGGGUGAACGGCCACAUUGGAACUGAGACACGGUCCAAACUCCUACGGGAGGCAGCAGUGGGGAAUAUUGCACAAUGGGGGAAACCCUGAUGCAGCAACGCCGCGUGAACGAUGAAGGCCUUUGGGUCGUAAAGUUCUGUUCUAGGUGAUGAAAACUGACAGUAACCUAGGAGAAAACCCCGGCUAACUCCGU
rnacentral:rRNA from 1 species